ACCAAAUUACUAGAAAUAAGUCAUCUUUUUAUACACAGAACAGGUGCAGCUUGUUCAGCAAACAGUGUAGAUAUUCCUCAGUCCUGUCAACCUGGGAGAGUGAGAGGGUAUGUUGGUCUCCAGACUCAUUCAAUCAUUGGCCUUU
rnacentral:sRNA from 1 species